CCAAGAUGGAGGUAUUUAAGGAGAACCAGAUGGGACCCUGAUUUGAGGGUUUUGAGGGGAACCAGGGGUGCCAAAAACUCAUCAGCACUAAGUGCCAAAUCAUCAAGCAUCAGAAAAUUAAAAAAAUAAAGAAAUCUCAUGUAUGAAGUGAAUAUGGGAAAUGCUUCAUUCAGAGGUCCUGGUUCAUUGAUCACCAGAAUCAUCAUGCAGAAGGGGAGCUCCACAAAUGGAGUCUAGGUGGGAAAGUAUUUUCCAGAAAGUUCAUGCUCACCAAAUACCAGAGAACACACAUAUAGGAGAAAAACCUUAUGAAUGCACUGUAUGUGGCAAAGCCUUCCUCAAGAAAUCAUGGCUCGAUGUACGUCAGAAAACACACACAUGAGAGAAACACUUCAUGCGCAGUGAAUGUGGAAAAGGCUUCAUCCAAAAAGAUAAAGAAGAUAUAAGACUUUCAUCAGAAGUCCUAUACUUGGUCAAUUUCAUAACCAUUUGCACAUAAUACUGUAAUAAAACUAUAUACUUAUAAUAUUAAAAAAAAAGAAAAGUCUUCAUCCCGAAGGGGAGUCUCAGGGUAAAUCCGCUGAUUCAUACAGGAGAGAAACCUUGUAUAUGCAACCAGUGUGGGAAAGGCUUCAGCCAAAGAUGUGCCUCAUAGCAUAUCAGAGAUUUUACACAGGAAAGACUCCCUUUGUGGGCAGUGAAUGUGGAAAAUCCUGUUCCCAGAAGACAGGUCUCAUUUAACAUCAAAGGACUCACACAGGAAAGAAACCCUUUGAAUAUAGUAAGUGUGGGAAAGCCUUUAUCGGAAGUCACAGCUCAUUAUACAUCAGAGAACUCAUACAGGAGAGAAACCAUAUAGAUGGAUUGAAUGUGGGAAAUCUUUUCAAGGGAAGUCAGUCUUCAAUAAACAUCAGAAAAUUCAUUUAGUCAAAGAAGAAAGUCCUCCAUCUGUCACAGGUCCUCACAGACCAGUGUUGUCCUGCAAGAGAAAACCCUUUUUAAUAUGGUGACUAUCCAUUGGCUUGUGGCUUGUCAGACACCAUUAAACAUCGUGGACUUCUGGCAAUAGGAAUGUGGUCAUAGUGGGACAGCCUGCAGCCAGAUGUAUUUGUUAAAUACUUAUACUGGGUCCUAUUCCAGGAGCUGAAUAUACAGUGGUGGCCAAAACAGAAAAAGCCCCUGGACUCCUGGAGAGAACACUGAGAAUCAAGUGAAGUCAGGAGCAGGAUGUUCCAAGACCAGGGGAGCAUUACUUUUGGAGACAUUAACAUGACAUGUGAAGUCUGUGACGAGAACUUGAGUGACAGUCUAGAAGAAUAAAAUGGGAUUCCGGUUCUGGUCAUUUUCUAAGAGCAGAAGGAAAGGACCAAGGUCCAGGGAACCAAAGUACCAGACCAAUGGGAAUCUUAAUUUGAAGCUAGGAGAUAAACCAUAGGUAGAAAGGGAAGACCAUGCUUGGAGCUUUCCAGGUUAGCUUUGUUUAAACCAAUGUCUACAACAAGUGGAAGAUUAAGUGCCCCAGUUUCCUGAUCUGAAUGAGGACCCCUUAAUUGAUGAAUUCCAGAUCUAUGACAACUAAGAAGUUUGAGAAGUUGGUGAUCAAAUGCAGUGGCCUUUGGAAAUCCAAAACAAGCUUAAGACCAUGAAAAGAGGUCAUGAACACAGUUCAUCUAGAUAUGUUUCAUCUGUACAUAAAUCUUCUUACUUUAAAGCAAAGUCGUGAUAGUUUUGACAUACUGAACUCUAAUUUAGAAUUAGUUCACCAGAAUAAAAGUUGUGCAGUGAAGAAUACUGAGAAGUUUAAUAAAGAAAUCAAUCAUUUCUUCAUAUUAAGCAUGAAAGAUGAUCCAUUGGAAUUAAAUGCAGUCAAUACAGACAUACAAUCAGCACCAAUUUGCAAUUCAUUACACAUCAAACUGAAAAAGGAAAGAAACAUCAUGAACAUAUUAAAUGGAGUAAGACCUUUAUGAGAAGGUCUCUGCUCACUGAACAGCAGAGAACUCGUGCAGAACAAAAGGCCCAUGGAUGCGGGGUACGUGGGAAACUUUUCUCCAGGAAGUUUUAGCUCACUGCAGAGAACUCCUGCAGGAGAAACUAUGAAAAUGCCUUAAAUGUGGCAAAGUAUUCUGUAGGAAAGCAGAGCUCACUAUACAUCAGCGAACGGAAAGAAGAAUGAAGCCCCGUGGAUGCAGCGGGUGUGAGAAAGCUUUCUCCAGGAAGUCUCAGCUCUGUGCACGUCAGGGACGUCACACCGGAAAUGCUCCCUAUCUAGGCAGUGGCUGUGGAAAAUCCUGCUUUCAGAAGUCAAGUGUCAUUAGACAUCAAAGAACUCAUACAGGAGAGAAACCCUGUGAAUGUAGUGAAUGUGGGAAAGGCUAUUCCACAAGGAUUCCAUUUGGGAUACCAUAAUACGUUUUGUUGUACCAUCUCCUUAGGCCGUUCUUGGCUAUGAUGGUCUCUCAUACGUUCCUUGCUUUUAAUGACCAUGACAGUUUUGAGAAGUGCUGGAUUGUACAGUAACAGCUUAGGACCACUCAGUUGUCGUUACUACCCGUUUGGUGGCCUGAGCAGUGGGAGCCGCACCCCAGUCUUCAGCGGGGUGCUGAGCACUCCGGUCUUCAGUGGGGAACUGCUGAAAAAACACAGAGGCACAUGCCUGGCUGCAGAGCAGGCCUGGGACCACAGGUGGAGCAGCCAUGAACUUGGGAGCCAGAGAAGUCUGUUCCUUGAAAUGGAUGCUGGCGUUUGUCAAAAGCUUUUUGUGUGUCUAUUGAGAUAUCAUGGGACUCCAUUUUAGUUUCUUAAUGUGGUCAAUUACAUACCUGGCUUGAGUUGCGAAUGUUCUACUAAUCUUGCGUUCCUGGGAUCAAGUACAGCAAAGCCUUCGGUUGCAAGUAACGUGUUCUGCGAGUGUUCCACAAGAUGAGCAAACGUUUCUAAUAAACUUUAACUUGAUAAAUGA